rnacentral:rRNA from 1 species
UGGGGAAUCUUGCACAAUGGGCGCAAGCCUGAUGCAGCAACGCCGCGUGCGGGAAGACGGCCCUAGGGUUGUAAACCGCUUUCAGGAGGGAAGAAAAUGACGGUACCUCCAGAAGAAGGUGCGGCCAACUACGUGCCAGCAGCCGCGUGACACGUAGGCACCAAGCGUUAUCCGGAUUUAUUGGGCGUAAAGAGCUCGUAGGCGGUUCGGUAAGUCGGGUGUGAAAUCCAAGGCUCAACCUUGGGACGCCACCCGAUACUGCUGUGACUCGAGUGCAGUAGGGGGAGCAGGGAAUUCCUGGUGUAGCGGUGAAAUGCGCAGAUAUCAGGAGGAACACCAGUGGCGAAGGCGCUGCUCUGGGCUGUAACUGACGCUGAGGAGCGAAAGCAUGGGUAGCAAAACAGGAUUAGAUACCCUGGUAGUCCAUGCCGUAAACGUUGGGCACUAGGUGUGGGUCUCAACCAACGAGAUCCGCGCCGUCGCUAACGCAUU